AUUGAACGCUGGCGGCAGGCUUAACACAUGCAAGUCGAGCGGGGAAGGGUAGCUUGCUACCUAACCUAGCGGCGGACGGGUGAGUAAUGCUUAGGAAUCUGCCUAUUAGUGGGGGACAACAUUCCGAAAGGAAUGCUAAUACCGCACACGCCCUACGGGGGAAAGCAGGGGAUCUUCGGACCUUGCGCUAAUAGAUGAGCCUAAGUCGGAUUAGCUAGUUGGUGGGGUAAAGGCCUACCAAGGCGACGAUCUGUAGCGGGUCUGAGAGGAUGAUCCGCCACACUGGGACUGAGAACCGGCCCAGACUCCUACGGGAGGCAGCAGUGGGGAAUAGUGGACAAUGGGGGGAACCCUGAUCCAGCCAUGCCGCGUGUGUGAAGAAGGCCUUUUGGUUGUAAAGCACUUUAAGCGAGGAGGAGGCUACCGAGAUUAAUACUCUUGGAUAGUGGACGUUACUCGCAGAAUAAGCACCGGCUAACUCUGUGCCAGCCGCCGCCGUAAGAC
rnacentral:rRNA from 1 species